UGCCUGAUGCUGCUAACCACUUUUAGCUAGCUGCCUAGUUUUGCUGAGAGUUUGCUUGGGGCAACCUGGUUUGGGGGUCAUAAGUCCCCGUCAGGCCUCUUCUUUCUGCCAAUGAAGUUAGCAGCCAAAUUCUGAGUGAUCUUACCAAGUGUGUGACUUUUGCUGUCCACAGCUCAACCUACUUUUUUGCUCUCUCUGUGCAGGCCUUGGCUUCAUUAACAAUUUUUCCUUCAUCCUUCUUUCCUUUUUUUCCCAGGGAAAGACAGCAGUGCUGUCAGCAGGUUUAACAGGGUCCUGGUGGUGAUCCCGUAGCCUAACCUCUUGUAUAAUACAAAACACAGAGUGUUCCCCAGUGAGAUGGAGGUCUGGCCCACCAGCCUCUUCAAAUAGCUGUGAUUUAGUGACUUCAAACGAUGGGGAAUUUACAACAUUCUUGGGUAACUGGCUCGGAUUGUUAAUCUCAUUGUUAAACGUUGGCAUCUUAUUUCCAAUUUGAACUUUUCUGACUUCAUCUUCUGGCUAUGAGAUCUCGUAACGUCUUUGUCUGGCAGAUUAAAUAGUUUCACAUAGUCUCUCUGUGCAAGUAUUUAAGGACGGUAAUUAAAUAGCCACUUGCUGUUGUCUCUGAUGAGAUAAAUAGGCCGCACUCCCUUGGUCUCUCCCAGGAAUACAAAGGCUCCAGAGGAAAAACGAACACUCUUCUCCAGAGCCCCCAGAGCAGCCGCCUGCAAAGUGCUGCCACCAGCACGGCACAGUGGCUUCCAGGAAGGCUCCCAUUAAUGUCACGUGCAGAGAUAAUGACAUCGGGCGCAGUAUUCCCCUGUCUAUUCACCCAGCGGUACGAACUUUUCUUUCCCACGACCACGCGGUGGGAACUUGUGUGUCCGUGAUCCCUGCGUUUCUGGGCAAGCCAGGGUUUUCUCAGGAGUUGGUUGCCUGUCCUGGAAGGGGUAUUUAAACUAAACUUUCCUACAUGCAUCACUCUGGAUGUGCCUAUAUUCAACCUUCCCCCCCGCCACCCUCCUAUCACUUCCAGGGAGUUUGCAGCAUUCUAACAAUAGUCAAGCUCUGGUGUUUCUCCCUCUAUGCCAAAAUUGUCUUUUUCCUUCUUGGUAGCACUCGGUCCAUGUAACCUUUAAGUUAUUUGAAGUUGGGGGAGAAGUUAUACUGAGUAAAGCACAAAUGAAGAACUGAAAGCGCCCAUGACAGUGAAUUGGUUUCAUAGCUGCUUUCAUUCAGCUGUGCCUCUAAGCGUUGGUGAGGGAGAGAUUUGCUUUCCUGCCUUACAGAACGGUAAAGCCCUCGCUCAGUGUGAUGCCAAGGCUGACGCGUGCAUGGUCACUAUGUUGCAGGUCUUGAACUUGAAUUGUCUGACUUUUACUGGUCCAGAUUGCGCUCAACCCUGGGUUUAUGGCUUUCUUUAGAAAGCACAGGCCUGACAGCAUGGGCCAGAGGCUUCUCGCAGGAUGUCGUCAACUUUUCUGAUAGCAUGCAGCAGCCCAAAGGGGACUGAAAAGCUGUGGGUGGAUUUAACUGUCUGAAGGCGCUGGUGUGGGAGAUGCUCUGUGAAGUGAGAUCUAUUGGGGUUUUUAUAGGGGCGGAGUUGGCCUAGUAAAGCUGACUGCCCUCUGCCUAUGGGCUAACCAGUGCACCCUGAGGGAGGGCGGUGUCAGAGGGGCACAGUCAGGCAGCGCUGUGCGGAUGUUGGUGUGUGUGUGCAGCUGUGCUGAACACAGCGCUGAGUCGAUCCCUUUCUAACUAAUGCCACUUAGAAAGUGCAAGAAUCAUUUCCUGUAGCCCCAUGAAGAAACCCUGGGACUACAAACAAAUGCUGUGCUUGCAGAGCUACUGACGGGCAUGCCUGUGGCACUUCCGUGGCACAGAAAAUCAGGGUAUUUGCCCUUUCACAAGCAGAGGAAUAGAAAGGCCCCUUAUCGACAUAGUUUCCCGAUAUGUCGUCUGUUCAUUGUUGUGGAGCAUGGUGAUAAUACCAAUUACAAGCCUGUGUUUUCAGGGGAUUGCAGGUCAACAACAAAUAUUGAUUUUAGUCUAGAAGUAGCUAUAGUUUUGCUGGCAGUGGAGAACGGGCUGUUCAUAAAUAAUAAUAUAAAAAAAAAAUGGUUGGGUUAAAUACUGUUCCAUCUUUUCCUCUUCUGAGGUGUUUCAGUUUGCAAAAUCAAAGACCUUAUCUGUAAAGGCAAACCAUUCCAUAAAGUAGGUGAGGUGAUUCCUGUGAGUAGCAUUUGUUUGCAUGAAUAAAUAUGGCAGGUUUCAGUCUUUAGAAUGAAUGUCUUCUGUGUUACAAUUAAGAAAAUGUAAAUUCUGAUCAUGUAGUGGCUUAAGUAUCAGUACAGCAAGCUCUCUUGAAAUUCCACAAAGGAUUUUUUUUUUCUCCAAGUCUCUGAAAAUGUCUAUACAAAAUACUGCACUAGGUAUUAACAGUGAUGGAUGGGGGAGGUGCCUAUUAAAAGGGUAAAAAUAAUUACUGAGCUAAGAUAUCAGAGGUGAUGGAAUAUAGAACCCUGCGAACCCUCGAACUGCAGGGAAUUCUUUUCACAUUGGUGUCAGCAUCUUAGAAGUUGCUUAUUGUGGAUUUAAUUGUAGAUUUCCCCCAUAUGAAAUUUUGACUUUCUGUUACCUGGACUGUAGCUUUCCCUUCCCAUUCAAAUGCUGUUUCUUUCUCCCAAACUGGGCUAGUUUUUCUUUCUGGUUUGUUUUUUGAUUUUUUGGUUUUUUGCAUAUACUUUCCCUUCUCAGCGUUGCAUCUUCUCUUCAAUUCCUUUUGCAACUAGAACAUCUCUCUCCAUAGAGUGGUUGGUCCCAAAACUCAUCUUUUUUGAGUCAUGAUGACCAGCUUGGGUCAGUCCAGCAUUAAGAACGGUGCCUGUUAAUUAACCCUACUAGUCGGUGAUGGACAGAAGAUGGUGUUUUUAUGAGUCUCACAGUUACAGUGUCAGCUGAAGAGUGCUCAGCAAGGAGGGACAAGUGGUGGGUUACAGCUAGGUGGAUUUCAUAAGAAAAAUAUGGUUGCAGUAGUGACAUUUGUCAGAUGUGUCCUACAGCCAUUAGUGCAACCUUUAUUUUUGAGCAACAUGAACGACGUCCAUUAGGUGCAAUCAAAACUAAGGAGAAGCUGAUUAUACCGAGAACAGUACCCUGCCUGUGGUUUGCUUUUGAAAUUGAUGCAGGUGUAAAAAACAACAUGCUUGCAGUCCUACAGCUAUAGAGCAAAAUCUUGAAACGUGUAUGACUCUUCUUCUAGAUAUACAUCAUUUCUUAAUUUAUAAAACCUACAUUGAAGACAGAAGUAGGGCACAUGGGCUGAAUCUGUUGCAGUUGUGGAUUUGAGAGCAAUCCUGGAUGUUAUUUAAUGAAAUGUAAUGAUUUAAUUUAAUGAAAUGUAAUGAUUAAAUGAUAAAACUUACAGAUCUGUCCUACAGGGUUAUGAGCUGGUGCAAAAUACUUAAAAAAUAGUAGUGUAGUUAAAGUAAGCAAAAUCCCAGCUUGAAUAGGUUUUAGGAAAAAGUUAGCUGAUGAACCAAGAUAGAGGCAUUAGCCCUUUCCUCAGUCUGUGCCUCUGUGUAUAUGUGAAUAGUGUAACUGACCAAAAAAGGGUGACCAGUGUGAGGGAUUGUUGGCAGUUGUUUGGCAUUAUUAUGGAAGAUUAGAAAUGUACCAAAAUUCAUCCAUUAUUAUUCAUGUAUUAAUCAUGGAUAGGAGUUGGAUGCACUGUCUGUAAGCACUGAUACUACGUGACAAGAUGGCUAAACUUCUCUCAUAUUUGGGAUACAUCAGUUCGUUCAGGUAAAUGUCAGCUUCUUAAGAGACAGAACAAAGCAAAGACUGAUAGUAUUUAUUGGUUAAAAAAAAAGUUUUAUACACAUUCUGAAUCAAGUUAAAUUACAUUCCUGUAGGAGAAGCUUUUGAGAGUCUAUCUGGCCACAGUUUACUUCUAUAAAUAGUAAAAAAGGAAAAAGGCUAUGUAUAUAUUUUAUUAUAUACAUGGACUUGGAAUUCUUUCAUAGUUCUGCAGAAAGGAAGAUUUGUACUGAUUAAUUCUUUAAUCACAGAUCAGUUACUUAUUAAAGUUGAGUGACUUGCUUCUUGGAGGCAGUUGCUAAGUGUUCACAUCUGUAAAUGAGCAGUACAUAUGAAAGGGCAGAGGUGUCAGAAUGCUGCUGAGUAAAUAUGAGAAAAGCACAUAGCUGACACUUGCAACUGCAUGCAGUGUGUGAGUAAAAGAGAAAACAGGAAGGAUGGAGACCAAAAAAGUAAUGACUGGAAAUGAGCAUAGUAUCAUUUUGAGCCCUGCUUCGUCCUCUGCCAGCAGCGGACACAUGUAAAUAGGAAAAAUAAUUAAGUGGAGGGGAAAAUGCCAACAGUUAUAAAUAUUGCAAUGAAUUACUGUAGCAUCUUCUGUCAAGAAUGUCCACAGAGGACUAAGUGGAUUCUUUUUUUCUCCCCAUCUCAACUCCACAGUCCUACACUACAGAACUUACUGGCAGGUAAGGAAGCUAUUACCAUAGCCAACAUCAAACAGACAUGCAAGAAGGUUCUGUUAUUAUUAUUUUUUUAUUGAUACAGAACCAUGGGUCUCUAUAAUAUCUGUGGUUGUGAUUGUCAGCAACUCCCAUUAUUUUUACUGUUCAUUUUGUUUAUUAUUUAUUAUAAGUUAGUGAAGUGUGGCACUGUUUGAGUUUGCUCCCUUCCAUACCCUCCUCUCUCCCUCAGUCCUCUUAGAAGGACAAGAAUAAAGGAAAACACAAACACCCUGGUUCUUUGUUGAUGUGUUAGUAUCUGCAAAUAUGGUGCCUAGCACAGUUCAGACCAGCUCUCACAUGAGACUCCCAGUUUGUAGUGCUUGGCAAAUGACAAUUCAUUUUCCCAGCUGAGUUAUAUCACUGUUUAGCUCUGGAGAUGAAACUGUUCUCCUGAGGGCAUGGAGAAGAGUGUAUUCUGAGCUAUUUCUCAUUACCUUCUUAGGCAACACUCACAAUCACUACUAAGGAAAGAAAGAAAAUGGUUAUUUUAUAAUCUGUUUUAUAGAUAUGAAGCCUGUCACUAGACAGGAAUCUAAAUUGCAGACUGAUUAACUUCUUAUCCAGGAAGCAGUAGCAUUGCUUAAUUUAAAAUUGUUUGUGUUGCCCGUGGAUUAAUCAUAGGUCCAAUCUGUUGGACACCGAAUUUCCACAGCCAGACCAGAGAAGUCCAUCAGCACAAGACUGACUGACUCAUCAGCACAUUGCAUGACUGGGUGAAGAGCAUUAAGGAGGGAGCGCACACUAUGGGGUUAGCACUCUGCCAAUCUCUUAGAUUUAAGACAGUCCAGUUCUUGUGCAGAUGCCCCUGAUUAGCAGUUAGUUUCAUGAUAACAAGCACACCUUUAAAAAUGCACAGAGGUUUGCUUGCUUCCUCUUCUACUUUUGUUUUUGAAAGCUUUGUUACCUGCUAGCAGGAGCCUAGUUCAGGUAAAUUUGUGCUAACAUACAUGGUAAAGUGUCUGCCAAGUCUGUGAUGUAAAACACACCUGUCAUGACUUUGCAGCCAACGUCUGGACCAGUAAGGAGAGAGAGAGCAGUCAGUAUCUGCAGGUUGAGCCAUGGCAUGCCAUGUUGAUCACAUUUAUAGAUUUAGGUUUGUAUGUCAAUGAUGUUUUAUAUAUAAAUACUACAAAAAUAUCGGAAGUUACACAGUGAGUGCAUGCAUUCAUUUGUGGAAUGACUGGAACGGUGGAAAGAUCAGUGUUUUCUGAAGGGCUGCCUGGCAAAGUCUGAGAACUAACAAAGAUAUUUCAGUAGCUCUGUUGGCUACAGCUAUGUACAUAUUUGUUCAGAUGAAGCGCAGAUCAAGUAAGACCAAAGUAAUUAGCAUGAAAGGCUGCUUUCUUACUGGCUGAAAAAAAACCAAUAUGUAUAUAAUAAGCAGAAAGUAGUGACCAAAGAUUCAGUUUUCGAAAGGCAGAUCUCAUUAUUUGCCCUUUUUUUUUCUGCUAAAUGGACCAAUGUUUCUAGAAUCUUGAAAAGUGAUAAAUGUUUGCUUGAAUUCUCUCUGUAACACCUCUACCUUUUGAUUCUGCUGGAGCUCAUUGACAGUAGUCAAUAUUGAUAACUCUUCGAAAUCAUUAUGCAACUACCAGCAGUUGGUGUUUUGUCCUGAAGAUCAGGAUGAUUUUCUAUAUGCACGUGUAGUUUUCUUUUGAAGAAAGUUGGAAAAAUAUUUGUUGUUGUGAUCAGGAUCCCAGAUUGCAUUCUAGUGAUGGAAGGUCUUUUUUUGAUGGGGGAGAGGGGGAAUCUCAAGAUACAAAGAUGAAAUAAGCAACCUGUGCAAGGUGCUAUGCAUUUUUUACUGUUCUUCAAGCAAAAAAAAAAAAAAAAAAAAAAAAGGCAGCAGACUCAAAUAGAGAACAUGAAUGCUCUGCUACAUUAUGACAGGUCUUAAAAGUAUACUGUAAAAAGAAAUGGCUUCUCUCAAAUAAUGACAGUGAUGUCAGGGAAGAUUUUAUUCAGAAAUUUUCCAUGGCUCCAGGCCUCCUUUUUAAAUGCAGAGCUAGACGUCCUGCUCCAUGAAACAUCACUAGAGAUCUGUGAAAAACAGUUCAGGUAUUACCGUAGAACAGUGGGAACUUCCAUCAUGGGAUAACAAAGUGGUCUCGUGUUACCUUAAAUUUGUGUAAAUUGAUGUUUAACUCACUCACAAUGUGUAAAACAAGUAAAAAUAGAUACGUGGUUGGGUGUAAAUUUUAGAUGUAUGGAUUUUCCUUUUCUGGAUGGAACAGAAGAGGAAAAUAAGAGUAGGCUAGUUACUAAUCUGAUCUCACAUGGUUUUGGGAAGAGAUGGGUGUUCCUGUUUAUAAGGAGUAGAGUUGGUGUGUGGUUACUCAGAUACUAGGGAAAAGUAGAAUCUCUUAACCUAAAGCCAGACUGACUGAAACCAAUUUUAGACUCUUGUGCAAUCAUUUUGCUUUCAUGAAGAAACUGUACAACAUUUUGAAGUCAAAGGACUGGUUCUUUAACUCUGUUAUAUUCUUAUUGUGUCAGUGUGAUCUUAGCCCACAAAGCAGUGUGUCUGCCAAGUACUUGAGGAAAGGUACCUCCACUCAGAUAGGGUCCUACUACUCUGACCAUGGACUAUUUCCAAAAGCAGUGUUGAAAAACAGAGUAAAUCUGGAAAGUUUGUAAUAGACUAGAUAGGAAAUCUUUCACCCUAGUGAUGUGUAACAAAGAUGAUAUGCGGGGUCCUGUUGUGUUUUAGCAACUUCUGGUUUUCUUAGACUACCAGAGCUGCAGGUCAUAGCAGCUUUUAGGGUGGCCUUUGUGCACUGAGGAAUAAACUGGAUAUCACCACGUCCCAAGAUCAGAAAGUGAAGAGGUACAGCAGUCCCGUCAGUCUUCCCAGCUCAGCUCCCCUCGAGAAGGUUGUCUAGCCCAUAGGCUAGAAAGGACAGAAGGAUAAUCAGACCUUAGCAUUUAACUUCUUGAAUUCAUGAGUUCCUAAUGUUAACGUCACUCUCUUCUCUGAAGCAUCAGUUUCAUGAAAAACUUCACAGUCGAUAGGCUUAGCUCAAGAGAUGAGUCAUUAGGGAAAUGAUAAAACAUAAGAAGCAUGCUGGGUGGCAUUGGAAGGGGUAGAAGUAAUGUGACAAAACAUUUGUCAGUAAGAUGAUACUCUGAGUAGAGCUGUAUGGAAACAAGAUGACAGAAUUAUUCCACCCUGAAAGUCUGGUAUUUCACAACAAGAGCUGAAAGUUUUAUAACACUGCAGCUCACUACAACAUCUCCAUAUUUAUUAUAAGAAAAUGUUAAUCCUCCCCCUGAGGUUAAUAAUUAGGUAGUAUCUGUUAAAAGCCACUGAGCAGGCUAUAAAUAUCCGCAUACAUUUAUGAGAACCCAGAUUUCUGCUGAAGUUAAGCAACAGCCUUACAAGGUUGUCUGAGUACUCUGUAAAACAACUUAUAGGGCUCCAUCCAAUCCACAGGAGCAGGCAUUCCAAUUUCAAAUGCAACUGUGAUGACUUUUGACAAUUCUCGGAACAACAAAGACACUUUCUGAUAAAGGGUAAGUGGUAUUUCUGAUGGUCACCCCAGUCAGUGGCAUGGCAGAAUGAAGUGACCAGACUUCCAGGCCUCUGCCUACUUUCCAGUCCUCCAAAUAAUCCUGGUUAUGCCAUAAGAGUAAGCACUACAAAUUGUAGAUGUGCAUCCAUCUGUCUCUGCAGAGGGCUGAAUUGAGUUGGAAGACCUGCUCACAGUGACUUCAGGUUGGGGCUGUGCAAGAUUGAUGCUGUUUAUCUCAUGCCUAAGAACCUAAGAUUAAUAGGGCUAAAUCCAGCUUAUAGUUCUGGCCAUGUGCUAAUGAUGCUGGAAAUGCAUAAGGAUGUGCUGCAAAAUAUGGCUGAGGACCAAAAUCUGUUUCUUCAUUUCCUGAGAAGUCUGGCAAGUUUCAUCAGGAGAUGCAGAGGAAAGUUUUAACAAAUGAGGAUUACAGAAGGAUUAACUUCAUUAGUUUAGCUGCUUGGGCUUUUUGACACUCAGGAAUGAAUCUAGCCUUCAUUUUUUUUUUUUGUCUUAGUCUUGAUUAGCUUGAUGCCUAAGAAAUGGAAGGGAUAAGCGGCUUCCAGCUGCAUUUACCAGACAUACAAACUAACACAGAGGUUGUCUUUGUUUUGGUGAGGUGAGAGGCCUUUACGUUAACUUCAGGGUAACAGUUCAUACCUCAAGUCAUGGGGCCACUUUACACCAUCCACAGAGCAAUAAAAUCAGCCAGAUAAUAGAAUUCUAUCAUAAGGCGUAGAAGCCUUCCAUUGGAAAUAUUCCUGUAUUAAAUUAUGUACUUUAAGAGUUGCGUCCAGCUGGACUGUGCUUGGGCAUUAUCAUAGAAAUAAGUGCAGUUGAUACUGGGAAAUAGCAGAACAAUAUUUAUUCAAUUCAAAAGAUGUUCUUAUUAUGAAGAGCCUCAGGGGAACAUUGCUUGGGAAAUGUAUUUUUAUAAUAAAAUGACCUAUUUUAGAAUUACAGUUUUCCAUGCUGGAAGGUGGCAGAGGGCUGGCCUAAAGAGACAGAUAGUAGGCACACUCACAUUUGCUCCCAAACAAGAAGGCAAGUGGACUGACUGUAUUAAUCAGAUAGCACGCAAAGGGGCUUCAGCAGGGUAUGCAUGCAGGGUAUGUGUAGGUGUCUGUCACAUCCAAAGCAACAUGCCUGCAAGAAUGGGAGCAGAUGUCCCUAUCAGUAGCUAACCCAAACAGGCGGAUGACAGGGAGAGAGUCCUCACAAUUGUGUUUAAGCCACUCCUCAAAAAAAACUUAGGUGUGAGUAAAAUAAAAUUUAAAAAGUAAAAGCUAAUAACAGGUAUUUUUUUUAAGUAGCUAGCUAUUCAAUUUAUAAUAUAAUAAUCUAAUAGUGAGCAGUGUAACAAGCAUUAUUCACUGUUAGUCAUCAGUGGGAUCUGUACUGACACCCCAAAACAAUCCAUGUGCUGUUGCUUCUCUGAUAAUACAGCCUACCUUCUAGUGACUAACGAAUCUCUCAGUUUGUCUCUUAUUUUGUCUGCUUAAACCUUUCAUCUUUUUCAGUGUGAUUUAUAAUCCAACAUCUGCAAUCAAAUUAGUCUUUAACCGCUACAUGAGUUCAACUAGUCAGCAAUCACUGCCACACCUGCUACUGCAAAAAGUACAUUAGUCAGUAGCUUACAUACUGCUCAGAAAAAAGAAAAACACCAAACCUGAAUUAGAUGGGUGAAAUUUGACCCUGUAGUAAAAGGCUGUAAUUUCAUUGAUGAAAACCCCAUCAACUGAGCUGCUGUAGUUUAUAUGAAAUAGAAAUUUGGCCUUUUACCAGCAGUAUCCAACCAGAGAUAUAAAAUUGAUGCCAUUUUUUUCCAGGCACUGUAGCUGCCAUUCUGACAGGAAGGCAAAAAACAACAUCCUUUCAGUCAUCCAGUCUGUAGGCAGCUGAUUCAGAACGAAUUUAGGGCAGAUGAGUUAGAGAUGAAUGAGAAGAAAAUUUAGCAGUGAUACUUCAUUCAGCCCGCAGAAUGCUCUUCUAAACACUUGUGCUCUCCAUUCCUUAGUGAUGGUCCUGAAGUGCUCCUGGCUUGUGCUCAGCAAUGUUGCCAUUCCAAACAGCAGAUAAUGAUGGUAAUAAACUCCCAAAAGAAUGCUAAAAUUCACAGAUGCCUAUGGCCAGAAAGAAACUACAGGACUGGGGAAACAAAUUGUGGAGGAGGAGUUAUUCACAAUAAGUUAUUAAGUUGUGGCGGGAACAUCAGUCGAUUAAUCAGUCUAAUAGCAUUUUCCUUGCAACAGUUUUUGGCCUCUUCAAGGUGUGUUUCUUUCAUAAAAUCUAACAGGGAUUUGCUUCGAGUCAUGGAUCUGCCUGUACAGAGUAGCUUUCAGGAUGUGCUUUUGCUUGAGCAUGGGGUUUUGCUCAACACUAUUUCUUCUAGCUUCCAUGCUUUAGUUGUACCAGUGAAUUUUGCAAAUCUGGAUUCAGUGUGCUUUGUGUGGAUAGACUAUGCCAUGCAGAAGGCUUCAAGUGCAAUUAUUUCAGUGUGGGUUUUUUUUCAAGAACUUAGUGUUUUUGCAAGACCCGAGUGGUAAAAACUUGUGGAGAAGAAGACCCCGAAUAGGUCUUGUUAUGACUUUCUCCAGUCUAUAUCUGUUUGCAUUCACUUUUAUGCAGUCUUCCUUGAUCCUUUUGCUGAGUGGUUAAUGAUUCAACUUGUCCUCAUACCUUAAAAGAGUGCAAAAGUGCCUCUUUUCUAGCAGGCUAUACUGGGGCUUUUCCUAAGCUUUUGCACAGUGGAGUUAAAAGAGUUAAAUGUGUUUUAGGGUAGACCCAUUAGCUUAGUCUUGACUAGUAUUUUGAAGAAGAAAUAUACAUGGCAAUGUAUGUUACCCCCUGAAGUAACACAGUAUUCUUUCAUUUCUCCUUCCCCAUCUUGAAGGCUGACCUUGUGUGUUCAACAAAGAAUUUUGUCCCAAGAUGAACUCUCCAACCAGGACUUAACAGGGCUAAAUGUUCCGUAGACACCCAGUAUUUAUUUGAAAUUCUUCACUUCUGACAGUUGAAAUGGUCAGUCAGUCCAUUGACUAAUUCUGGCUUUCUUGGGGAAAGAUUUCCUGUUUGUGACUGAAAAGAAGACAAUCUUUGGGAAAAUGGGCUUUUCCCUUCUGUUCAUGCGCACUUUUUAGUUAAGUCUACAUACUUUCUUUUUUUCUUCUUACAGCCCUACACAGAAAAAUACUUUCUGUAUAGUGGGAGAACAUUUUUUAAAAUAGUUCUGCUUUUAGUCAUCCAUUGAGAGAAAUAGCCCUAACAGAUAACAAAAAAAUAAUAAUCAGAAAAUGGUAAUGUAGUGGAAAUGCUAAGUCACGGCCUGAACCAAUGACUGAGCACCUGUUGGGAAGGCAGGGCCAACCCAGGGGAGCUCAGGUGCAUGCAAUGUACCUGAGUGACUGGAAGAGGUGGAGCCAGGAUCCACCCCUUCCCAGACCUCAUUUAAGGGUUGGCAGUGGAGGUAAGGGAUUCUCUCUGGAGAUCUCUGCCUACCUGAGGCUUUCCCAAGCUAAGGUUAAACUCCUGGCAGCCUGAGCAAGGGCAGAUGAAGCUGCUUUGAAGAGGAGGACAGAAGAGCACGGACUGAUGUGAGGAGUACGGUGGCUGCAGCGCAGUAGAGUGAGAACGCGAAAAGAACAGGAAGCAACUGCAGAGGUGGAGGCAGGAAGAAUUGAAGCAGGGAAUUUUACAUCCAUCCACGCCUGGCAGAAGAAAGUGUUUUACCUGGUGUUAUAGCCCUUGGAGGAGAUAUGCCAAGAGCCAACCUGCCUGUGGGGCCACAUACAGGGUGAGAGUGAAGGUUGUGGGCAGCAGGUUAAGCUGCGCUUUGCCCUUCUGCACUCUGCAGAGUUGAAGAGGCAUAAGCAGAGGAGUCAACAACCAGAAAAAUUUAUUUCUUCAGUGUAUAUAAAAACCUCCCUCGGAUAAACCUUAAGAAGCUGUUGGCUGAUUGAUAGCCAUCUCUUUCUGGCAAAAAAAAAAAAAAAAAA